CAGGGAGCUAUUCAGACCAAAAAGAACAUACUUCCAGAAACGAAAGUGAAAGUAGAACGGUUUCUGGUAGACUUUAGGAAAGUUCCACGUGAAGCCGUGUAGCUCAUACAUUGACUGACGAGUUUACGUCACAGGUAUUACAACCAUAUAAAAGCCGAGCGCUUCACAACACGCGCAGAAGACGGUACACAUAGGACUGUUCGGACUAUUUACAAUCACUUGUAACAACAUGUUGCGAACGUACGUCGUAUGUUAUCUGCUCCUCAUCAGCUGUCUGAGCGUCCGUGGCACAGAGGACAAGGAGAAGAGUUUCUGGGAUGACCCGUGGUGCGUGGGCCCCGCUGUUGUGGUUGGAGCUGUAGGAGGUGCGGUACUGGGUCCAGUUGUU
rnacentral:misc_RNA from 1 species